rnacentral:lncRNA from 1 species
UUAUGGGGACAGCCGAUAAAUAAAUAAAAAAACGAAGUGCAUGACAGUCUUUGCCAAAGGUAACCUGCAUUUAUCUUCUAGGGAGAGUUGGGCCUUGUUGGAGUUGUUGGCCCCAGAGGCCCGCAGGUAAGAGGAGACGUUUGUCUUGUUGUGUUUUCUUGCCUGAAGUUGGGUCACAUUCAACAGAACUACAUGCUCUAUGCUUGUUAGACUAUAAAGGAAAUAUUUCUGUUUAUUUCACCAGGGGCCCCAGGGUUUAGAUGGUGAGAGUGGGCCUCCAGGUCUCAGGGGAAUUCAGGGACAGCUUGGGAUGAGUGGUGCCGCUGGUCCGAAAGGUGACCCUGGACCAAUGGGGAUGAUGGGUAUCCAGGGUGAGCUAGGGUUCGAGGGGCCCAUGGGCCCACUGGGAAUACAAGGUCCAAUGGGUUUCCCUGGUAUUACUGGAAAAAGAGGACCAGACGGGGAUAAGGGAGACCCUGGACCAAAGGGGGAGAGAGGUGUUCAGGGUUCUUCGGGUAUCCAAGGGCCUCAGGGAGAGAGGGGUCCCAGUGGCCCCCCUGGCUUUACAGGGCUCAAAGGUCAAUCUGGCACUAAAGGCAUUGAGGUAGGCAGCCUCUCGGCCUUAUCACUGCAUCUAAAGUUAUAGACUGACACUUUACCAGUGGAAGACUGAUGGAUUUUGGAUAUUUUCUUUCAGGGGGAGAAUGGAGAAACUGGCCAUCAGGGAAAACUGGGCAGACAGGGGCUGAAGGUCAGAGAAGACUUCAGAAAGGAAUGCAUCAUAAUGAAUGUAACAUUUUGAAUGUCAUUAUUUCAUCAGUCUGCCUGUUAGGAUUGGUCAAAAUGAUGAUUCAACUGUGGAUUUCAUGUCCUGAAAUAGUGUCCCAAAUGGCAAUCUAUUCCUGGCCUGUGUAGUGCACUACUUUUGACCAGUCCUAUGGGGUGCCAUUUGGAACAUGUAGUGUAUUAAAUAUCUCUAUGUUUCUUUGAAGGGGAAUAGAGGGACAGCUUGGCGCAACGGCAAGCCUGGACACAGAGGGAACAAGGUAGGACACUCUCCCAUUGAAUGCGUUUAUGAAGGUUGCUAAAAUGUCCAGGUUAUCCAGCAUUUCUAGGAUAUGUAAUUUC